UUGAUCCUGGCUCAGAUCGAACGCUGGCGGCGUGGCUAAAGCAUGCAAGUCGUACGCGAAAGUCCUUCGGGAACGAGUAGAGUGGCGAAAGGGCGAGGAAUACAUGGGUAACGUACCCCCGGCACAGGGAUAGCCGCGGGAAACCGCGGGUAAUACCUGAUAUGACCACAGCAUCACAGGAUGCAGCGGUAAAAGGGUGGGGACCUUCGGGCCUACCGGCCAGGGAGCGGCCCAUGACCUAUCAGCUUGUUGGUGAGGUAACAGCUCACCAAGGCGACGACGGGUACCGGGGCUGAGAGGCUGACCCGGCGCAUUGGGACUGAGACACUGCCCAGACUCCUACGGGAGGCUGCAGCGACGAAUAUUGCACAAUGGGCGAAAGCCUGAUGCAGCGACGCCGCGUGUGGGAGGAAGCCCUUCGGGGUGUAAACCACUGUCAGGGACUAACAAGCGACCGAGACGAAUAGUCUCGGAAGUUGAGUAAUCCCAGAGGAAGUCACGGCUAACUUCGUGCCAGCAGCCGCGGUAAGACGAAGGUGGCAAGCGUUGUUCGGAAUCACUGGGCUUAAAGAGCAUGUAGGCGGACUGCCAAGCACUUUGUGAAAUCCCUCGGCUCAACCGAGGAAUUGCUUGGUGAACUGGUAGUCUUGAGGCAGGUAGGGGCACACGGAACUCUUGGUGGAGCGGUGGAAUGCGUAGAUAUCAAGAGGAACGCCAGAGGCGAAGGCGGUGUGCUGGGCCUGACCUGACGCUGAGAUGCGAAAGCCAGGGGAGCGAACGGGAUUAGAUACCCCGGUAGUCCUGGCCCUAAACGAUGUCCACUAGGUCUGAGGUGUUCUGACACACCUCUGGCCGAAACAAAAGCGUUAAGUGGACCGCCUGGGGACUACGGUCGCAAGGCUAAAACUCAAAGGAAUUGACGGGGGCUCACACAAGCGGUGGAGCAUGUUGCUUAAUUCGAUGCAACGCGAAGAACCUUAUCCUGGGCUUGACAUGUAGGAAUACCUCCCUGGAAACAGGGCUGGUUGCCCUUCGGGGUGAAGCCUACACAGGUGCUGCAUGGCUGUCGUCAGCUCGUGUCGUGAGAUGUUGGGUUAAGUCCCGUAACGAGCGAAACCCUUGUCGUUAGUUGCCAACGCGUUAUGGCGGGGACUCUAGCGAGACUGCCGGUGUUAAACCGGAGGAAGGUGGGGAUGACGUCAAGUCCUCAUGGCCUUUAUGCCCAGGGCUGCAAACGUGCUACAAUGGCGUGUACAAACCGACGCAAGACCGCGAGGUGGAGCAAAUCGGAAAAAGCACGCCCCAGUUCGGAUUGGAGUCUGCAACUCGACUCCAUGAAGUCGGAAUCGCUAGUAAUCGCGGAUCAGCAUGCCGCGGUGAAUGUGUUCCUGAGCAUUGUACACACCGCCCGUCAAGUCAUGGAAGCCGGGAGCACCCGAAGUCGGGGCA
rnacentral:rRNA from 1 species